rnacentral:ribozyme from 1 species
CAUCUGGGUAAGUAAAGAAGGAAUGAAAAGAGAGAUAGAAAAAGAAGAAAACAACGCUCACCUCUUUUAACUCACCUCUUCGUUUUGAUAUCCGUUUUUGCGUUUCGUUUAUCCGUUUCGUUUAUCCGUUUCGUUUUCUUCCUAUUAGAGCGGCAAG